rnacentral:sRNA from 1 species
CCAGAAUACGAGGGGCAGCGUGCGGCCU